rnacentral:rRNA from 1 species
AAUGGGUCAGCGACUUAUAUUCUGUAGCAAGGUUAACCGAAUAGGGGAGCCGAAGGGAAACCGAGUCUUAACUGGGCGUUAAGUUGCAGGGUAUAGACCCGAAACCCGGUGAUCUAGCCAUGGGCAGGUUGAAGGUUGGGUAACACUAACUGGAGGACCGAACCGACUAAUGUUGAAAAAUUAGCGGAUGACUUGUGGCUGGGGGUGAAAGGCCAAUCAAACCGGGAGAUAGCUGGUUCUCCCCGAAAGCUAUUUAGGUAGCGCCUCGUGAAUUCAUCUCCGGGGGUAGAGCACUGUUUCGGCAAGGGGGUCAUCCCGACUUACCAACCCGAUGCAAACUGCGAAUACCGGAGAAUGUUAUCACGGGAGACACACGGCGGGUGCUAACGUCCGUCGUGAAGAGGGAAACAACCCAGACCGCCAGCUAAGGUCCCAAAGUCAUGGUUAAGUGGGAAACGAUGUGGGAAGGCCCAGACAGCCAGGAUGUUGGCUUAGAAGCAGCCAUCAUUUAAAGAAAGCGUAAUAGCUCACUGGUCGAGUCGGCCUGCGCGGAAGAUGUAACGGGGCUAAACCAUGCACCGAAGCUGCGGCAGCGACACUAUGUGUUGUUGGGUAGGGGAGCGUUCUGUAAGCCUGCGAAGGUGUGCUGUGAGGCAUGCUGGAGGUAUCAGAAGUGCGAAUGCUGACAUAAGUAACGAUAAAGCGGGUGAAAAGCCCGCUCGCCGGAAGACCAAGGGUUCCUGUCCAACGUUAAUCGGGGCAGGGUGAGUCGACCCCUAAGGCGAGGCCGAAAGGCGUAGUCGAUGGGAAACAGGUUAAUAUUCCU